UGAACCUUCAGUUGUUGAGAAACUUUUGUGGAUAAAAUCAGUUUUCUUCUCUUGUCCGUGAUGUAAAAAAAAAAAAAAAAAGUUAAGAAACAUUGUUUUUCUUGUGGAUUCCGCUUGUUUACGGAGGUUUCUCUGAGAUAUAUGAACAAGUUAAAGAAGAUAUAAUGCCGUGAGGAAUGAAAUUGAAUUAAUUGAAUUAAAUCUGCUUGACAUGCUGCUGAAGAUGGAGUUUGUUAAAGAGGAGAACGAAGACGUCAGUAUUUCAGAAACAUUCAGACUGAAGAAUGAAGAUACUGAGCAACAAAGGGACCUGAAGAAUCUGAAAAAAGAAAGUCAAGAACUCAUUGAAGGAGAAGAGAAGCAUCAGGACCAAAAACCUGAUAAUGCAGAAAAGUCUGAUGGUUGCUUACAGACUAAAAGGAAAUUAUCACUAAAUAGACCUCGAAGAAAAAAAACAAACAAAAAAUCUUUAAUCUGCCCUCAGUGUGGAAAGAUUUUCACUCAUAAAGGAAACCUUAAAAGUCAUAUAAGAAUUCAUUCUGAAGAGAAGCCUUUUACAUGUCAUCAGUGUGGAAAGAGUUUCAGACAUAAAGGAAACCUUAAAAGCCAUAUACAAAUUCACACUGGAGAGAAGCCUUACGAAUGCCAUCAGUGUGGGAAGAGUUUCAGACAUAAAGGAGGCCUUAAUUUACACAUAAAAAAUCAUUCUGGAGAGAAGCCUUUUACAUGCCAUCGGUGUGGGAAGAGUUUCACACACAAAAGAAUUCUUGAGGCACACAUGAGAAUUCACACCGGAGAGAAGCCUUUCAACUGCCAUCAGUGUGGAAAGAGAUUUAGAAAUAAAGGAAACCUUGAUCUUCACGUAAGAGUUCACACUGGAGAAAAGCCUUUUCCAUGCCUCCAGUGUGGCAAGAGUUUCACACAAAAAGGAAGCCUUAAUUUACACACAAAAAUUCACUCUGGAGAAAAGCCUUUUCCAUGCCUUCAAUGUAGCAAGAGUUUCAGAAAUAAAACAAUCCUGAGAGCCCAUAUAAAUAAUCAUUCAGGGGAGAUAUUACACCAUUGUUCUCAGUGUGGCAAAAGUUUUUCAAUGCUGUCCAAUUUAAAACAACACCAGGAAAUACAUACAGGUGUGAAAGCUCACGUGUGCUCAGAGUGUGGUAAAGCCUUUGUCCUAAUCGGCAACUUAAAACGGCACCAAAGAGUUCAUACAGGAGAAAAACCUUAAGUGUUCGUAUUGUGAAAAGAGUUUUGCUCAUCCAAGACUCCUGAUAACACAUGAGAAAGUGCAUACUGGAGAGAAGACAUAUGACUGCACUCAAUGUGGGAGGAGUUUCAGCACAUCAAGAACUCUACAGAGACAUUUAAAAAAGAACUGCCCAAAGAUGUCACAGUGAGCAACUUCAUCUUCAUCUUGAAUUUUUUUCCUGUGUUCCAAAUGGGAUUAAUCCGCCUCUGAAGGGGACUUCAAAGGAACAGCAAUCAUGACUGCCAUGUUUAAGGGGCAUUCCUACCGAAGUGCCUUCAAAAUGAAUGUUUCUGUCAAGUUCAAUUGAUGGACACUUUGCUGCCAAGCAGACCGGAAACAGACCAUACAUCAUAAUUCUGCAGGUGUGCCGAGUGAAACCAAAGCUUCAAUUACAAACAAGCUCUGGAUCUACUGUGCAUCCGGAAAGUGCAGACUUACAUUUUUCCACAUUUUUGUUAUGUUACAUCCUUAUUCCAAAAUUUAUUUAAUUAAUUUCCUCAAAUUUAUACAAACAAUACCCCGUAAUGACAACUUGAUAGAAGUUUUUUUUUUUUAAAUCUUUGCAAAUGUAUUAAAAUAAAAAGUGGUGGCGUAGUGGGCUAAAGCACUUAACUGGUAAUCAGAACUUGUAAGCAGAAGGUUGUAGGUUCGAUCCCCACAGCCACCACCAUUGUGUCCUUGAGCAAGGCACUUAACUCCAGGUUGCUCUGGGGGGAUUGUCCCUGUAAUAAGUGCACUGUAAGUCGCUUUGGAUAAAAGUGUCUGCCAAAUGCAUAAAUGUAAAUGAAAAAUUCACAUACAUAAGUACAUAUGUAUUCAAAAUUUAGCUCAGGUGCGUCCUGUUUCCACUGAUCAUCCUUGAGAUGUUUCUACAACUUGAUUGGAGUCCACCUGUGGUAAAUUCAGUUGAUUGGAUAUGAUUUGGAAAGGCACACACCUAUCUGUAUAAGGUCUCACAGUUAACAUUGCAUUUCAGAGCACAAACCGAUCCAUGAAGUCCAAGGAAUUAUCUGUGGACCUCUGAGACAGGAUUGUAGUGAGGCACAGAUCUGGGGAAGGGUACAGAAACAGUUCUGCAGCAUUGAAGGUCCCAAUGAGCACAGUGGCCACCAUCAUCCAUAAAUGGAAGAAGUUUGGAACCACCAGGACUCUUCCUAGAACUGGCCGCCUGGCCAAACUGAGCAAUCGGGGGAGAAGGUCCUUAGUCAGGGAGGUGAACAAGAACCCGAUGGUCACUCAGACAGAGCUCCAGCGUUUCUCUGUGGAGCGAAGAGAACCUUCCAGAAGAACAACCAUCUCUGCAGCACUCCACCAAUCAGGCCUGUAUGGUAGAGUGGCCAGACGGAAGCCACUCCUCAGUAAAAGGCACAUGACAGCCUGCCUGGGGUUUGCCAAAGGCACCCGAAGGUCUCUCAAACCACGAGAAACAAAAUUCUCUGGUCUGUUGAAACAAAUGUUGAACUCUUUCGCCUGAAUGGCAAGCAUCAUCACCUGGCCAAUACCAUUCCUACAGUGAAGCAUGGUGGUGGCAGCAUCAUGCUGUGGGGAUGUUUUUCAGCAGUAGGAACUGGGAGACUAGUCAGGAUCAAGGGAAAGAUGAAUGCAGCAAUGUACAGAGACAUCCUUGAUGAAAACCUGCUCCAGAGCACUCUGGACCUCAGACUGGGGCGAGGGUUCAUCUUCUAACAGGACAACGACCCUAAGCACACAGCCAAGAUAACAGAGGAGUGGCUAUGGGACAACUCUGUGGAUGUCCUUGAGUGGCUCAGCAGGAGCCCAGACAUGAACCCGAUUUAAAUGGCUGUGCACCGAUGCUCCCCAUCCAACCUGAUGGAGCUUGAGAGGUCCUGCAAAGAAGAAUGGGAGAAACUGCCCAAAAAUAGGUGUGCCAAGCUUGUAGCAUCAUACACAAAAAGACUUGAGGCUGCAAUUGGUGCCAGAGAUGCUUCAACAAAGUAUUGAGCAAAGACUGUGAAUGCUUAUGUACAUGUGAUUUAUUUGUAUUUAUUUUUUAUAUGUAAUAAAUUUGCAAAGAUUUCAAACAAGCUUCUUUCACGUUGUCAUUAUGGGGUAUUGUUUGUAGAAUUUUGAGGUAAAUAAUGAAUUUAAUCAAUUUUGGAAUAAGGCUGUAACAUAACAAAAUGUGGAAAAAGUGAAGCGAUGUGAAUACUUUGCGGAUGCACUGUAAAUACCAAAACAUGUGACCCCUGCAUCUCUGAGGUUUGUAAAAGCUUUUAAGAAUUGUAAUCAACUUUUUAAAUCAUUCUAAACUCCUGGCUGUUUGAUGAAGCUUGCAUUUCUUCAUAUGACCUAAAAGUUUUAAAGCAAUUAUUUUUGCUUUGCUUACUGAAAGCAGUUAAUAGUGAGGUAAAAUCUUGUGUAAAUAUUUCUGAUUAGGUACUUCUGAUGUUCUUUACCAUCAGCGUUGUGCAACAGUAACAAUGGCUUGUUUGACUUGGAUAGAUGACAUUAAAGUGCAUUAUGAAUAACAAAUAUUUUGGAACCCUCCAAAUCUCUUACUCUGGGGGAGUAAACCCUUUGAAAGAGUAAGGGCAAAGGGGUGAGCCCAUUGGAAUGGAAUGUUUGUGAAAUUUUUGCAACUUUUAAAGGUGGACUUUGUCUUAAAGAGACUACAAGCAUGAUAUGGUGUUGGAAGUCAACAACUCUUUAAGGAUGGAUGAAAUAAGGAAAAUAGGUUAUUUUGGUCAUAGCAAUAUGUCUUAUGUUUAAGGGUGAGAUGGGUCAUUCUUAUACCUAGGAAUUGGAGAAAUCUUAAAUGUAGACUGGUAGAAGUGGAAUAUGGUUAAAAAGUGAAUCCCAAUAAAGUUUUUAUAGAGACAUUGUCUGUCUGUUAUUUGAGAAUGUGCAUUACAUUUACAUUGGAUGUAAGUGCACUUAUUACAUGGACAAUCCCCCUGGAGCAACCUGAGGGUAUGUGCCAUGCUCAAGGACACAAUGAUGGUCAAGUUAGUUUUAUUAAUUUAGCGCUUUUCACAACACACAUAAUUUCAAAGCAGCUUAACAGAAAAUUAUGCUUUAACAGAAAAGCUGUAAUAUAAGGCACUUUUCUGCUGCAUGUUACGGUUCAACUCUACUCGCUUUACUUUUCUGAGCUUGCGUUUCCACUGCAGUUUAGUGCCGCCUCAACAUGGGUGGGAUUAUAGGAUGAUUUUAAUAGUUGUGCUGCCUCUACUGCCAUGACAUCAUCUUAAACAUGACACAAACUGACCAAAACAAUAACACGACCGCUAGCUGUUUGCUACUAGCUCAUUGGGCUUCAUAAAGCAGUUGUUGCAUGGCGAUUUUACACAAGUGUAACAGUUAAAUUGCCCUGGUUGUUUUAGAAGCAAGCUUCCAGUAGCUGGUCAACUAAAUAAAGUGAAGCUUUCAAGCAGAGUAUAGAGUUAACCUAAUAAAACCUACAAUCCUCCAUCGUGGAUCAACGCCAGUCCAAGGCAAGGCAAGGCAAGGCAAGUUUAUUUAUAUAGCACAUUUCGUACACAAUGGUAAUUCAAAAUGCUUUACAUAGAAGAGAUUAAAAUAAGAAUAAAAAAUUUUUUAAAAUAAGAGUAAUUGAAACAGUUUAGAAUAUAAAAUAAAAUAAAAUACAGUACAAACAGUCGGACACACAGUGGCACAGUGCUCAUUCAGUAAAUGCACAGCUAAACAGAUGUGUUUUGAGUCUGGAUUUGAAUGUGACUACUGUAGGAGCACAUCUGAUCUCUUCUGGAAGCUGGUUCCAGCUGCGGCUGGCAUAAUAGCUAAAAGCAGACUCUCCUUGCUUAGAGUGAACCCUUGGUAUUUCUAGCUGAUGUGAUCCUAAUGAUCUGAGUGAUGUGUUGGGUUUAUAUUCAGUGAGCAUAUCUGCAAUAUAUUGAGGUCCUAGCCCAUUGAGUGAUUUAUAUACCAGUAAUAAUACUUUAAAAUCAAUCCUAAAUGUAACUGGGAGCCAGUGUAAAGACCUGAGGACUGGUGUGAUAUGUUCAUGUUUUCUGGUUCUGUUCAGAAUCCUGGCAGCAGCGUUCUGUAUGAGCUGCAACUGUCUUAUGGUCUUUUUGUGAAGGCCAGUGAGGUGCAACUCACCUAUUGUCCAUUACAAUAAUCCAUCCAGCUGGUGAUGAAAGCAUGCACAAGUUUCUCUAGGUCUUGACUGGAAACAAAGCAUCUAAUUCUUGCAAUAUUUUUCAGAUGAUAGUAUGCUGAUUUAGUUAUUGCUUUGACAUGACUACUGAAACUAAGGUCUGACUCUAGAGACACACCAAGAUUCCUGACUUGAUUUUUAAUUGAUUGACCCUGUAAGGCAGGGUGCCAAUGUGUUUGCAUUCAAAGGCAAAGAGCAAAUGUAUGAUCUUUGAGAAAAUCAACAAACUAACUUUCUCGCAAUUAGCAACUCUUCCUGAGGCACCACACCCCACUGAGCGAAGACUGCAAAUUCACACCUCAUUGUUGCCCUUCCACAUCUGUCCCAUUCUCUCCUCUCUCCCCCAUUCAGCUCAGAAUCACCUAAGAUCUGUAUGUAACAAAAGUCUAUAUCUGAUGUAUACAAAUAAUGAAACUAGUGUAACAUAACAUGUUUGGAAUCAUUUAAAAUGUCUCAGUGCAUCUGGUAUUGUGCUCUUAUUCCCAGGUUUGUAAACUUAAUGACAACAAAGUUAUAAGGUCUUUGCCAAAUGCUUUAUAAUUCUGGAGGUAUGUCCCCAGGACUUCCAAACCUAACCACUCCCAAAAUCCCCUUUGUCCAUGGUUUGGGUAUUUAAGGAAAGGUGACACAUUGUGCAGGGCUCUCUGUAAUCAGACGAUCCCAAACAGUUUACUGUUUGUAAUUUAUAUAAGCUGAUUGCAAUUCGAAUUUCUUAUGUUUUGAUAAAAUGUCUAACUUUGACUUAUCAAUGUCUAAUUGGAAUUGAUGAAUUGAUUAUG